rnacentral:rRNA from 1 species
CCUACGGGAGGCAGCAGUAGGGAAUAUUGGGCAAUGGAGGCAACUCUGACCCAGCCAUGCCGCGUGCAGGAAGAAGGCGUUAUGCGUUGUAAACUGCUUUUAUAUAGGAAGAAAUAGACCUUGCGAGGUAAGUUGACGGUACUAUAUGAAUAAGCACCGGCUAACUCCGUGCCAGCAGCCGCGGUAAUACGGAGGGUGCAAGCGUUGUCCGGAUUUAUUGGGUUUAAAGGGUGCGUAGGCGGUUUAUUAAGUCAGUGGUGAAAGACGGUCGCUCAACGAUUGCAGUGCCAUUGAUACUGGUAGACUUGAGUGGGAUUGAGGUAGCUGGAAUGGAUAGUGUAGCGGUGAAAUGCAUAGAUAUUAUCCAGAACACCAAUUGCGUAGGCAAGUUACUAAGUCUCAACUGACGCUGAGGCACGAAAGUGUGGGUAUCAAACAGGAUUAGAUACCCUGGUAGUCCACACUGUAAACGAUGAUAACUAACUGUUGGCUUUCGGGUCAGUGGUACAGAGAAAUCGUUAAGUUAUCCACCUGGGGAGUACGCCGGCAACGGUGAAACGUCAAAGGAUUGACGG